AGUGAACGCUGGCGGCAUGCCUAACACAUGCAAGUCGAACGGCAGCACAGUAAGAGCUUGCUCUUACUGGUGGCGAGUGGCGGACGGGUGAGGAAUACAUCGGAAUCUACUUUUUCGUGGGGGAUAACGUAGGGAAACUUACGCUACUACCGCAUACGACCUACGGGUGAAAGCAGGGGAUCUUCGGACCUUGCGCGAUUAAAUGAGCCGAUGUCGGAUUAGCUAGUUGGCGGGGUAAAGGCCCACCAAGGCGACGAUCCGUAGCUGGUCUGAGAGGAUGAUCAGCCACACUGGAACUGAGACACGGUCCAGACUCCUACGGGAGGCAGCAGUGGGGAAUCUUGGGCAAUGGGCGCAAGCCUGAUGCAGCCAUACCGCGUGGGUGAAGAAGGCCUUCGGGUUGUAAAGCCCUUUUGUUGGGAAAGAACAGCAGCGGGUUAAUACCCCGCUGUUCUGACGGUACCCAAAGAAUAAGCACCGGCUAACUUCGUG
rnacentral:rRNA from 1 species